rnacentral:rRNA from 1 species
AGGACGAACGCUGGCGGCGUGCUUAACACAUGCAAGUCGAGCGGAAAGGCCUUUCGGGGUACUCGAGCGGCGAACGGGUGAGUAACACGUGAGUAAUCUGCCCAUCGCUUCAGGAUAGCCAUCGGAAACGGUGAUUAAUACUGGAUAUGACAUUCCUUCGCAUGUUGGGGUGUGGUAAAGUUUUUUCGGCGGUGGAUGUGCUCGCGGCCUAUCAGCUUGUUGGUGGGGUAAUGGCCUACCAAGGUCUU